UCCGGCUUAUCACCGGCAGUUUCUUUAGAGUGCUCAACUAAAUGGUAGCAACUAAAGACGAGGGUUGCGCUCGUUGCGGGACUUAACCCAACAUCUCACGACACGAGCUGACGACAGCCAUGCAGCACCUGUGUUACGGCUCUCUUUCGAGCACGCCCUCAUCUCUGAAGGCUUCCGUACAUGUCAAGGGUAGGUAAGGUUAUUCGCGUUGCAUCGAAUUAAUCCACAUCAUCCACCGCUUGUGCGGGUCCCCGUCAAUUCCUUUGAGUUUUAAUCUUGCGACCGUACUCCCCAGGCGGUCAACUUCACGCGUUAGCUGCGGUACUGAGAAAUUGCUUCCCCAACACCUAGUUGACAUAGUUUAGGGCGUGGACUAC
rnacentral:misc_RNA from 1 species